rnacentral:rRNA from 1 species
CCUACGGGAGGCUGCAGUCGCGAAUUUUUCACAAUGGGCGCAAGCCUGAUGAAGCCACGCCGUGUGCGGGAUGAAGGCUCUCUGAGUUGUAAACCGCUGUCAAGUGGAGGGAAACGUAUGGUGUUAACAGCGCCAUGCUUGACUGUCCGCUAAAGGAAGCCCCGGCAAAACAUGUGCCAGCAGCCGCGGUAAUACAUGUGGGGCAAGCGUUGUUCGGAAUUACUGGGCAUAAAGGGUGCGUAGGCGGCUUGUUAAGUCAGGGGUGAAAUCCCACG